UUUUUUUUCGUUUUUUUUU
rnacentral:sRNA from 1 species